AUUUUUCUGGAAUGCUAUAUACGUUUCAUAUAACAACAUUUGGAGGUUUUAUGGAACAUAGCAUAAAUUUUCAGGUUUAUGGGUUUGGAUGUCAGUAGGAGGUCCAGGCGAAUUAAUCGGAAUCGACGCGAACCUUACAGCAGCCCAAUACAUAGAUAUUUUGGAAAAUGCAUGCAUUCCAUCACUACAAGCAAUGUCCGUGGAUCCUGUAAAUUUGUUCAUGAUAGAUCACCUAUUCAUACCGCUCGGUUAACAAAACAGAUGGGAAACCAAUGCAUUUUGCAAGACAUGAAUUGGUCGGCGCGAGCAGCGGACAUAAACCCAUUCGAAAUAUGUUUGUUUUUAUAAAUACAAG
rnacentral:lncRNA from 1 species